rnacentral:rRNA from 1 species
GACGUAGGGCGCGAGCGUUGUCCGGAUUUAUUGGGCGUAAAGAGCUCGUAGGCGGCUUGUCGCGUCGUCCGUGAAAACCUGCGGCUCAACUGCAGGCUGGCGGUCGAUACGGGCAGGCUGGAGUUCGGUAGGGGAGACUGGAAUUCCUGGUGUAGAGGUGAAAUUCGUAGAUAUUCGCAAGAACACCGGUGGCGAAGGCGGCGCUCUGGACCGAGACUGACGCUGAGGCGCGAAAGCGUGGGGAGCAAACAGG